rnacentral:rRNA from 1 species
UACGGGGGGGGCAAGCGUUGUUCGGAAUUACUGGGCGUAAAGGGCUCGUAGGUGGCCAACUAAGUCAGACGUGAAAUCCCUCGGCUUAACCGGGGAACUGCGUCUGAUACUGGAUGGCUUGAGUUUGGGAGAGGGAUGCGGAAUUCCAGGUGUAGCGGUGAAAUGCGUAGAUAUCAGGAAGAACACCCGUGGCUAAGGCGGCUCUCUAGUACGGUACUGACGCUGAGACGCGAAAGCGUGGGGAGCGAACAGG